UGUUAGCAUUUGAUUGGUGAUUAGCAAACCCUGCACUUCUGCAAUUUGCUCAGCAAAAACCAGCUUAGGACUAGCUUUAACUGCCUUAAGACCGAUAAGGGAAGACAAUUCAAAAGUUCAGGCUAUUGUGUCCGUGAGAUAUCCAGUUUCCCU